GGCAUUAAGGUGGGUGGAAUAAUAUAACAAUUCACUCUUGUUAUAGUAUUCCACCUACCCUGAUUCC
rfam:Danio rerio chromosome 5, GRCz11 reference primary assembly.